AGCUGGAGUUCAAAGUUCAGUGUAGAGCUGAGGCACAGUGAAGUGAGGACCUGAGGAGUUUGUCUGGUGUUCCUGAAGGAGGCCUGAGGCCUAGUCCAGCAACCACGCAACUACUACAAGUUAACCACUGCACCGUGGGUGAAAGUCAAAGCCUUACGGUGGACUAUUCUAUUCAAUACCGUCCAGAAAGUAGACAGAAAGUAGACAUAUCUAUUUGCAGGUGAACACGUCCGAUCAUGGUAUCAAGAAAUUUCAGGUAGAGCUGAUACUGCCUCAUCCUGUGGAACAACCUCUGGUGACCUAUCCUUUUCCACUGGGAUCUCAGGAGGUGUCUUUUCUUUACUCUCUCCAGACAGAUACAAGGAGUCUUCUAUUACAUAUGUUAUUUU